rnacentral:rRNA from 1 species
CCUACGGGUGGCAGCAGUGGGGAAUAUUGGACAAUGGGCGAAAGCCUGAUCCAGCCAUGCCGCGUGUGUGAAGAAGGCCUUCGGGUUGUAAAGCACUUUCAGUGGGGAAGAAAGCCUUGGGGCUAAUACCCUCGAGGAAGGACAUCACCCACAGAAGAAGCACCGGCUAACUCCGUGCCAGCAGCCGCGGUAAUACGGAGGGUGCGAGCGUUAAUCGGAAUUACUGGGCGUAAAGCGCGCGUAGGCGGUCUGAUAAGCCGGUUGUGAAAGCCCCGGGCUCAACCUGGGAACGGCAUCCGGAACUGUCAGGCUAGAGUGCAGGAGAGGAAGGUAGAAUUCCCGGUGUAGCGGUGAAAUGCGUAGAGAUCGGGAGGAAUACCAGUGGCGAAGGCGGUCUUCUGGACUGACACUGACGCUGAGGUGCGAAAGCGUGGGUAGCAAACAGGAUUAGAUACCCGGGUAGUC